GAUGAACGCUGGCGGCGUGCUUAACACAUGCAAGUCGAACGGAAAGGCCCAAGCUUGCUUGGGUACUCGAGUGGCGAACGGGUGAGUAACACGUGGGUGAUCUGCCCUGCACUUCGGGAUAAGCCUGGGAAACUGGGUCUAAUACCGGAUAGGACCACAUUUUGGAUGGUGUGGUGGAAAGUUUUUCGGUGUGGGAUGAGCUCGCGGCCUAUCAGCUUGUUGGUGGGGUAAUGGCCUACCAAGGCGUCGACGGGUAGCCGGCCUGGGGGGGUGUACGGCCACAUUGGGACUGAGAGACGGCCCAGACUCCUACGGGAGGCAGCAGUGGGGAAUAUUGCACGAGGGGCGCAAGCCGGAUGCAGCGACGCCGCGUGGGGGAUGACGGCCUUCGGGUUGUAAACUCCUUUCGCUAGGGACGAAGCGUUAUGUGACGGUACCUGGAGAAGAAGCACCGGCUAACUACGUG
rnacentral:rRNA from 1 species